GGUUAAGCGACUAAGCGUACACGGUGGAUGCCCUGGCAGUCAGAGGCGAUGAAGGACGUGCUAAUCUGCGAUAAGCGCCGGUAAGGUGAUAUGAACCGUUAUAACCGGCGAUUUCCGAAUGGGGAAACCCAGUGUGA
rnacentral:rRNA from 10 species